UACGUAGGGUGCAAGCGUUAAUCGGAAUUACUGGGCGUAAAGCGUGCGCAGGCGGCUUUGCAAGACAGAUGUGAAAUCCCCGGGCUUAACCUGGGAACUGCAUUUGUGACUGCAUGGCUGGAGUGCGGCAGAGGGGGAUGGAAUUCCGCGUGUAGCAGUGAAAUGCGUAGAUAUGCGGAGGAACACCGAUGGCGAAGGCAAUUCCCUGGGCCUGCACUGACGCUCAUGCACGAAAGCGUGGGGAGCAAACAGG
rnacentral:rRNA from 1 species